AAUUUUUUUUGGCCAUUUUAAUUUUUAAAAUUUUUCUUGGUCAUUUAAUUUUUUUUCGUAUUUUUUUGCUAAUUUAAUUUUUUUUUAGUAUUUUUUUGGCAAUUUAAUUUUUUUAUAUAUAUUUCUUUGGACCAUUUAAAAAUAUUUAAAAUUUUUUGCCAUUUAAAAAUUAUUUUAGUUUUUUUUUGGCCUCUUAAAAUAUUUUAUAUUUUUUGUGUCCAUUAAAAUUUUUUUAAAUUUUUUUUUGGGCAUUUAAAAAUUUAUUUACUAUUUUUUUGUCCAUUUAAAAAUUAUUUUAUGGUUUUUUUUGGCCAUUUAAUAUUUUUUAAAAUUUUUUUUUGGCCAUUUAAAUUUUUUUUUAAUUUUUUUUUGGCCAUUUUAAAAUUUUUUAAGUAUUUUUUGGGCUAUAUUUGAAUUUUUUAAUAUUUUUUCUAACACCUCCGAGACUCAUUCUUUCCAACCCCCCGAGCCUGCAGCUCGGGUUUAUUUUCCGAGGCGAUUUUUGGGAUGGUUUCAGCAGUUUCUGCCUCCGAUUUCCCAGAACAAGGAGCUUUUUCAGCCCUUUUUCACUUUAUGGCCUCAAUAAUUCCCUCGCUGCCUCCUCACUCCAGAAGUGUCGGCAAUUCCAGCUCCGGGUGGAAAAAUAAAGGGAAAAAAAAAUAUUAAAAAAAUAGAAAUAUUUAAAAAAAAAAAAUAAGAGUUGAAUUAUUUAAUUGGAGGGAACUUUGCCAGCCCUUCACAAACCUCGCUCUGUUCCGCCGGCCCGGCCAAAUUUUGGGUGUUGAUUGAAUCCCCUCAUCCCCCCCCGCGCUGCCGGCCAGGGAAACCUGGAGGCAAAAACAGCCCCGAGAACUCGAGCCAGCCCCAAAUCCUCCUGCCCGUCCUGAUUUUCCUCCUCCCCAUGGCGAUUUUCCUCCUCCCUAUCGCGAUUUUCCUCCUCCUGAUCUCGAUUUUCCUCCUCCCUAUCGCGAUUUUCCUCCUCCCCAUCCUGAUUUUCCUCCUCUCGAUCUCGAUUUUCCUCCUCUCGAUCUCGAUUUUCCUCCUCCUCAUCUCAAUUUUCCUCCUCUUCAUCUGGAUUUUCCUCCUCCCCAU
rnacentral:lncRNA from 1 species